CCUGCUCAAUGAAAUUUAAAUAGCCGCUUUUGUGCUAAGGUAGCAUAAUAAUUUGUCUUUUAAUUAAAGACUAGAACAAAAGGUUUAACAUCUCAAUUAAUGUUUAGUAAAAAACUAUUUAAAUUAUUUUAAUUGUAAAAAAACAAUUUUAAAAAAGAAAGACGAUAAGACCCUAUCGAACUUUACUUUAGUUUAACUGGGGCAGUUAAUUAAUUAUUAUUUUAACUUAGAUAAAUACCCAAUUUGACCUAAUAUUAUUAAUAAAAUAACUAAGUUACCGUAGGGAUAACAGCGUAAUAAAAUUUUUAAGAUCUUAUUUAAAAUAAAGAUUGCGACCUCGAUGUUGAUUUAAUAUCCUAAUUUACGCAAUAGUUAAUUAAGGAAGUCUGUUCGACUUUUAAAAAAUUACAUGAUUUGAGUUCAGACCGGUGUAAACCAGGUCGGUUUCUAUCUUCUAAAAAAAUUCUUCUAGUACGAAAGGACCUAAGAAAAUAAUAAUAUU
rnacentral:rRNA from 1 species